AGUGGUUCUCAGGUGACACACCCCAGAAUCAGGCUCCCUCCUCUCUGGUUCUGGGUGCAUCACCCAAGAAGUGCA
rfam:Myotis lucifugus cont2.30249, whole genome shotgun sequence.